rnacentral:sRNA from 1 species
AUUUUUAUAUCUUUUUAAAUACUUAAACACAGUUUAAAUAUUCAAGUCCUGGAUUUUAGAAUGUUUGAUACAGUUACAUUAGGGGUUGGUUAAACUGCUAGUCCUAGCAACAUAAGACUCAUUUUAAUUACAAUAUGGUAUUAUUACCAAGGAUGACUUACAUCUGUCCCUUAGGUAGAAAAAGGGAACCCAAGUGAAUAACCAUUGACAAUCUCUGUUCUUUGAGAAUGAGUUUUUAGCACAUUGUGAUAAAUCUUUGCGAGUUUUGUCAGUUUUUGACUCUUGCUUGACCGUGUAUCCUAGAAUGAGUCACUGGCCGCCUCUGCCUCUUGAAUUUUGUUAACUACAUUGCAGGAAGGAAAGCUAGCAAGAUAAAUAUUAUCCGAUAGUGGAGGCCAUCUAAAUAUUAGAGCACAGCCUCUCUGUCUUUAAAAAGGUGCCAGAUACUUGGCUGUAAAUUGACUAGAUCUUGAUCACAUUAAUUCAGGCAAAGCUGUUUUCCUUAGAUCAUUGAGGAGGCGAAACGAUCCCUUCACGAUGCUUUGUGUGUCAUCCGGAACCUCAUCCGCGAUAAUCGUGUGGUGUAUGGAGGAGGGGCUGCUGAGAUAUCCUGUGCCCUGGCAGUUAGCCAAGAGGCCGAUAAGUGCCCCACCUUAGAACAGUAUGCCAUGAGAGCGUUUGCCGACGCACUGGAGGUCAUCCCCAUGGCCCUCUCUGAAAACAGUGGCAUGAAUCCCAUCCAGACUAUGACCGAAGUCCGAGCCAGACAGGUGAAGGAGAUGAACCCUGCUCUUGGCAUCGACUGUUUGCACAAGGGGACAAAUGAUAUGAAGCAACAGCAUGUCAUAGAAACCUUGAUUGGCAAAAAGCAACAGAUAUCUCUUGCAACACAAAUGGUUAGAAUGAUUUUGAAGAUUGAUGACAUUCGUAAGCCUGGAGAAUCUGAAGAAUGAAGACAUUGAGAAAACUAUGUAGCAAGAUCCACUUCUGUGAUUAAGUAAAUGGAUGUCUCGUGGUGCGUCUACAGUUAUUUAUUGUUACAUCCUUUUCCAGACACUGUAGAUGCUAUAAUAAAAAUAGCUGUUUGGUAA